rnacentral:lncRNA from 10 species
CCCAGGCUGGUCUCGAAUUUGUGGACUCAAGCGAUCUGCUCGCCUCGGCCUCCCAAAGUGCUGAGAUUACAGGCCUGAGCCACCGCGCCCGGCUGGAAUCGUGUAUAUAUAACAGGCUUUUGGGGGGCACGUUGUCAGCUGACUGUAUUACUUUUCUUCCAUAUUUGCCCUGUGUAAUGUCGACGUAGUACAUGCACAGAUGAGGUUAUGAUGCAAAGCCGCUGCUCCUUGCCUCGUGUCCCUGCUCCAGUUCCCCCUCCUAGAGACAG